rnacentral:lncRNA from 1 species
CCUUUUCUCCUUAAAGCUGCCUUCUUAUUUCUCCCGUCUCACUCAUUUUCCCUUUUUUUUUAUUAUUUUCUUUUUCUGGCAGCUUUGCUGCUCUCCUAUAUUAUAUCCCCCUCUGACCUGCCUUCCAUCUCCUUCUUAUUCUUUUAUUCUUUGCACUCCACUUCCUUCCUUUCAAUUAUAUUUUUCGUCCGUGCUCUCCCACUUCUUAAAAAGGCAGCCAUUUCAAUUCACAAUUAACGAUCCACUUGCUCCAUCUUUAAUUCUUUUAUUUGCUCCAUUAUUUUUCUAAUGGUCCACCCGUGUUCCACUUUCCUGUUUAUUAUUUAAACCCAUUUGUGCUAAUUUUAUUUUCUUUGCAUAACAAAUCCUAUAAACACAAAAAUAACGUAAAUAGCUCAAAAAUAUAAGGAACUAACUAAGAAAAGACGAGUGAAUUCGAAGUAAAAAUAUAUAUAAAUAUGAUCCGAUCAAAUACCCCCACACUUAACUUUUGCUAGUCCUCGAGCAAAACAAAGAAAACAAGAACAAGAAGUAACAAGAAAAACAUUAGCUUCCCCUCUAUGUGACCCUCAUAGAAUUUCAUUCAAGAAAACAAAUCAUCAAGAACCAUAGCUAGCAUCAAGGAACUAAUCCAAGUUCAUCUUCCUUAUUCAAAUAUUAGCAGUAAUCUUUAAAUCAUCCUUGAAGUGUAGUGUGUGAGAUAGCCAUGCUAAUGCAAUUUCAAGUUUUUAUUUUUAAAAUCAUCAUAUGCAAACUAGCGACCUUCUCACGGGAUAUGCACUCAAUCACACAUGUGUUUAGUUUUAAUGUGUUUCGCUCAAAGAAUCAAAUGUGAAAUUUCUACCAUAAGCUUGCAUAAAGAUCUCAUCUCCACAAUCAUAAUUGCAAAACUUAAAUCAAGAGGACUUUUAUUGGAUGUAAUGAGGUUUAGGGAGAGGGUUAUUGAAAUGAAAGAAUAGGUAAACACAAGUUCCAAGCUACAUUGCAAGCAAUUCUUUUGUUUAGAUUUAUAAGAACUCAAGCUCUCCAGCAAUUCUUCUAGCACCUCCAACCACACCCUUAAACUGAAACUUUAAAAACUUUUUAUUUUCUUUGUAUACAAUCUUUCUUUUUCUUUUUCUUUUCUUCUCUUUUCUCUUUUUUUUUUUUUUUUUUUUUUUUUUUUUUAAAUACAAACAUGAAAUACCCCCACACUUAUUCUUUUUGCCAAACACCUUCAAAGUACUUCACAAACGUUUCUCAUAAGACAAUCUUUCGCAUUGCUCGCUUGGAAAGGGUAAGGAAAAAUGUUUCAGGUAUAAGGGUAGACAUAUCUGGUGAUAAGAAAUAAAAGGCUCAACAUACACGGCUCAAAUUGGCAAUCUAAUGAUAUCAUUUUUCUUUGGGAAACAUGGUUAUUUGGGCCAUAGUGGUAAACCUAAUGCCUCUAUCAUUUCCAAGUUCAUGCAAUCAAUGACAAACAUUUCGAAAGAUCGUUACGCAAGUUCUAGAGAUGUAUCUCACAUAAGUUCAUCACACAUGAAAAAAAUAGGAGUGUAUGAAAAAUGCACACACUUUCAAUAGGCUCAAAAACUCACAUAGGAUGUAUAUGGUCACUAAAUUCACAUAUGAAGCUUUAAGUCAUGCUUUAGUUUCACAUCAACAAGGCUAUGUGCAUUUGGUUUUUCAAAGAUGAUCAAACAUGUACAAAACUAACAAGAGAAUUAGGAAUUUCACAAAACACAUGUUAACUAAGUUCUUGAUGAUCAUGGUUCAAAUUUGAUCCAAUUAUAUCAUUGGGUCGGGAAACAAAAAAAAUCUAACAAUAAGGGAAACAAGACAAUAUUUUUGGAUUUUUAAAUUUUCCGAUUUUUUUUUUUUUAAAAGAAAACAAAACUAAUUAAGAAAACAAAAAGCAACAACAUGGAAACAAAUGAAACUCGUUCAUAGUUGAAGGUACAAAAAAAAUUUCAAUUUGGUCAUUUUUAUACUCUUUACCCCCAAACUUAAACUGGACAUUGUCCCAAAUGUCAGAAAACACUAUAAUGCAAAUAAAAAUAAAAUAAAAUAAAUAAUAAGAAACAAAAUAAAGCAAUUGGACUGAAAACUUCCCUAAGUUUGCAGUAAAAAUCAAGCGAUGACCCCCAAGCUAAAAUUCUGCAAUCAACUUCAAGGGUGGAAAUAACCAAAAAUUCCUGCAAAGAAAAGAAAUAAUUCAGUUAAGUAACGCAAGAAAAUGUAAAAAAAAUUGCAAACGAAAAAUUGAAAAUCACGAUAAAAAGACAAUGAAUAGAACUAAUAAGUGAUCAUUGGUCGUGCUUGUCGACUUUCCACAGCUUUCCUCUUGAACGGGGUGACACUUAGCUUUUUACUUGCAAGUGAUGAUUUGAUGAUAUUGUACGGCGGAGCUUUGCUCUUUGGUGAUGUUGCAGUUCCUUAUUUGUUCUCCAAGCAGAUGUGGCAGCUUCUCUAGUUCUUCAACUCAGACUCCUUAUGCUGGGUUGAUUGUGCAAGCUGCAUUCUUCUCUGCUUGUUUCUUCUGCACGACGGGCGGGCACGAGGUAAAGGUGUUGGUCUGUUUCUUUCUUCAAUCUUUCCAAGUGCCCACCUCUUGCUUUUUUUCUCCUUGUCCCUAGCUGAAUUGUCUCCACAUGCUUCGAGGUAUCAUUUUCACUUCCCUUACUGUCCCCCAGGCAGAUGUGGUAGACGAAGAGAAAGCACAAAAUGAUGAAGAUGAGUACUCGAGAGCAAGGCUAGGUAAGCAAUCAGGAAAGGGUUCCAGGCAGUUGGCUCCAGAUCGGAAGAUUGAUACCAAAUGCUGGCUGAUUGCUCUCUUUCUCCUUGUCGCAAAACAAAGACAAGGAAAAGGACAGGGAGAAAGCAUGAUAUGAGAUACUCUUGCUUUCAACCUUCAUGAUAUGAAAUACUUUUGCUUCUGGAUGGGUUGUUUGCAGGGGUAUCCCAAGGGGAUGAAAAAUACAGAGUGACUUCGAGAGGUGUGUUGGAAAUACAUUCUCGGAGAUGAAGAAGUGCUGAGAGGGUGUGCCUUUGCUGUGGAAGGCGAAGGUAGAUACUUAUAGGACUUUUCUUCACAACCGGAACUAUUCCCUCACUCAUUGUCGGCAGCCGGUGGAUGGAUGAAUAGUAUAAAUUACGCGCUUUCUGACAAAGUUGCCCGUAAUUUCCGCAAAGCUGCCAGUUGCAUGUGACGAGUGACGACACGUCUGGACAACUUGAUCUUUUGAAAUCCGGGGUUCGGCUCGUGGUUUCUGAGCAAGCCCAGCCUUUAAGAAAUGAAACGCCUCUUUUGAGAAAAAAAUCCGACUUUUGAGAAAGGAGCCCCGACUCUUCGAUUUGCGAGAAGACGCUUCUCUGAGGAGCGCCUCUUUGAUUUCUUCUUUUUAUAGAGGCGUUAAUUUUGUUCCACAACACACUUGAGCUCUCUCCUGUAAACACUCCCUUCUUGCACUUCCAAAAUCUUAAUCUGUCCUAUCUCUUCUUUCUUUACCAUUCUGAAAAAUGUCUGGCCCUUCCGAUCGUCGUUUUGACUUGAACAUUGGUGAAGAGGCAGCUCCGCCUUCACCAGACAACAUAUGGCGCCCAUCCUUCAUAUCCCUUACCGGUCCCCUUACCGUGGGGGAUUCGGUGAUGAAAAAUGAAAUGACAGCUACGGUGGUGGCCCGGAACCUUGUCACCCCACCCCCAGAGAUAACAGACUGCUCGCUAGACGGUCUGAUGAAUUGGCGGUUAAGGAGUCUCUGGCUCUUAGCGUGCAGUGUGCGGGUUCUGUGUCCAACAUGGCCCAACGCCUAUUUGCUCGAACCCGUCACGUUGAAUCGUUGGUGGCUGAAAUACAGAGUCUCAAAGAGGAGAUUAGAGGGACUCAAGCAUGAAAAAAUAAACAAUUGCACAAGCUUGCACACAGUUAUGCCACAAACAUGAAGAGGAAAAUUGACCAGCUGCAGGAAAAUGAUGGUCAGAUUUUACUUGAUCACCGGAGGUUUGUGGGUUUGUUCCAACCGCAUCUGCCUUCGUCUUCUGGGGCGGCACCGCGUAGUGAAGCUCCAACUGAUCAACCUCCGAUACCUCCUCCUUCCGUGGCCCCGCCGACUGCUGAAGCUCCGCCGACUACUGAAGCACCACCUGACCAAUGAAUGCUAUUAGUUUACACAUCAUUGUAAAAUAUUUUUACUUUAAUGUUUUUUUUUUUUUUUUAAAUCAAUGUAAAAUAUGUAAAUCAAUGUAAAAAGACUUUGUUUAACCUUCCCCCACACUUAAACUAAAUAACACAAACUCACAGAAAUCAACCAAAUAACACAACUAAUUAAACAAAACAAAAUGAAAGCAGUAAAGAUAAGGGUGUAAGAAUGCAAAUCUGAUUUGGUUAGCGAUUCCAAAGUCUCCCUUCGUUGAAUGCUUGGGUUGCCUCCCAAGAAGCGCUUGAUUUAACGUCUUUAGCCGGACGAAUCUUUCCUUUAAACUCCCCUCGGCUCCAAAGCAUGGAAUUUAUCUUUUAAUGGGAGGUGAUACUUGAAAUGAUUCGGCAAUGGUUUAAAUUCAAGAGUGGGUGCCUGAAUCAUCAAAAUCAGAAACAUGUUAGUAUAAAUUAAAAUUAAAAUUGGAGAAGAUGGCUUACUUUCUUUUUCCGACACAAACUCAAUGACAAACACCACAUGUUUGAACAUUUUCGGGACUUUGAAUUUGGCCAGGUUUACUAUGAUGGUUGUGGCUUGUCCUGUGUCAUCAAACUCAACUGCUUUGGGCUUGAUUGUCUCAUGCACAACCUCUUGGAUGUAUUCUUGAUAUGCUUCAACCACUUCAUUCUCUUGAAUCCCUUUUCUUGGUGUGCAAGGUUCUUUGAACGUUUCAAUACCAUCGGGAACUUGUUUUGGUGCACCAUGAAUUGGGAUAUCACUUUGCACCUUUGGAAGAGCUUCCACAAUGUCUUUUUCACUCUCUUUGAUAUUUGGAAUCAAAAACCUGCAAGGACAAAGGACGUUCGGUGGAAUAAUGUUAGAAUGAAGUGAAUUUAGAACUUCCUCACCUGAGUUGGAUGACAUAGGGAUUUGAGGAGCUUGCAGCAAGAAUUCUUCUAAACUGCCCAGGUCGUCCUCCUCCUCUUCUGCUUGUAGCAGCAAUUCAUCCAUGUUCGGGCUGUGUUUGGAUGGUUCUGGGACAGCUUCAUCCUUCAUGUCACCUUCCAAAGUGAUGGCUUCAUCGAUUUCACUUUCUGCCUUUGAAUUUGCAACAGUUGAGCUGGAGAGUUCACUUUGCUCUUGAAUUUGUACCAUGAAUUCCAUAAUCUCUCCCAUUUGACUCAUCAAUUUAUCCAACUUCUUGUCUUGAUUUUGUUGGUCAUGCGUCAAAGAGGUUAGUACUUGAAGAAUUUGAUCACUAUCCAUGGACAUACUUGAAUUUGAUUGGAAUUGUUGUGGGGUAUGCGGUGGGCUGCAUAGGCGUUAAAAACUCCUCAGAUUGCUGCCAAUAUCCAUCUUGUUGAGCCUCCUUGGCUUGAUUUUGUGAGCCCUGCACCAAACAAUUUAAUUCAUUAAGAAUUUGAUUAUAAUUUAUUGACGAACCUGAGUUUGAUUGAGCAUAUUGCAUAGGUUUUGAAUAGAACUCCUCCUCUUGCUGCCAAUAUCCAUCUUGUUGCAAUUGUUGAGGUUCCCCCCACAUAUAAUUUGAAUGAUCUCUCCAAGCCGAAUUGUAAGCGUUGGAAAACAUGUUGUUGCUUGGUUGAUCAUAGCCUUGAUAACCCCAAGCAUCUUCGUUCACAGUGAAUUGAGGAUGUUGAUAUCCUUGCCCAUAGGGCACAUCAAAUGUAGGGACACUUGGCAUUGUGGUCCUUCCGGCAAUCUGUGACAAUUGAGAAGUAAGAUUCGCCAAUUGAGCUUGAAUGUUAGCAAAAUCCAUGUCUUACUUCUCUAGACCCUGAAAUCAAAGAAAACUAAAUCAAAUAUCAAAAGUAACACAAAACAAGGAAAACAAAACUAGGUCAGAAACUAAAACAAAAACAAACUAAACAAAAAGAAAAGAACCAAGGGAUUAGCAAAGUUGCUAAUCCCCGGCAACGGCGCCAAAAUUUGAUGUGAGAAUUACUUGACACACAAAUUAAACCCUCUUUUUGACAAUUGUAGUAUAGAUGUAAGUAGGGUAUCGUUCUAGGCCGGGGAUUAGGAGGGAUUGCUAAUCUAUUCUAAAUUAAUUUAAAAAUAUUAAACAAGACUCAAGGACACAAAACUAGGCUAAAAACUCUAAUAACUCGAAACACACUUAGAAUGACUCAAAAUAAUGAAAACAAUCAAAUUAGACACUAGAAACUGAAAUGGACGGAAAUUGAAUUAAAAGACUAAAAACAAUGAAAACUAACUAAAUAAUAUAAUUUAAUAAUGGGGGGUUUGGUUUUGACGAGAAGUAAAUUAAACUUAAAUAAAUUACAGAAUUGACAAAAGCAUGAAAUUAAGGUGAAAGGAUAGGUGACGGACUAGCUAGAGGGUUUUUCUCCACACAUGAUACAUAUGCAACCUAAAUUGAUUUUUCAGUUGUUCUUUCAAUAAAUUGUGAAUGACAAUGUUCCAAGUUAAUUAGGUCCGCUUAAAUUAACUCUUAGAUUUCCCUAGAUUCAUUGGAUUGAAUGGAAUACGCAUUACAAACCAAAUUAUUCCUCAUCAAAAUCCCUAACUAUGGAAUACGCAUGAUAGAGACAUUCAACAAAGAUCAUUAAGUUCAACGGAAAUCAUAAACAUUGACUAGGCAUUCAUAACUAUGGAAUACGCAUGUUAAUCCAGCCUAGAAUUCACUUAACACGAUUGUGGAUAACAACCUUCACUACUUGUGAAUAUAAGUUCAUAACGAUUAGGUGAAACUCCCUUAUAUUCUAGCAUCAAAUUCAUGCAUGAAAAUUAAGCGUGCACUCUCAACCAACAUACACAAAUUAGUUAUCAAUCAAGCAGUUAAGCAAAUUAAAUCACAACUCAGAAAUCACAACUGAAGGUAAUCAAUUCAUAUUACAAAUAUAUUCAUGGCUUUGAAUUAACCUCUAGCCAAAAUAAAUUUAGUUACACAUUAUUAUCAAAUUAAACCAAAAGUAAAACAUGAGUUUGAGAAGAUAAAACCAAGAAAAAUUGGAGUGAAACUUUGCUCUCUGUGUUGCUCCCGUCAGUUUCUCCUUGCCUUUGCCUUCUCUCCCCUCUGUCCUGCCUCUGCGCCUCACUGCUCUCUGUCAGUCCGUCCUUUUAUUUCCUCUUGUUAGUCCGUCCCUUCUCUUGGUCUCUCCUCUUGGUCUCUCCUCUGCCGCGUGUUCUGUUUCUCGCGUUGCUCUCCUCUUCCCCGUCACUCCUCUCUCUCUGCCCUGCCUUCUGUUUCUCACGCUGCCUAAGGCAGCUUCCUCUGACUCGCCAGCUGCAAAGGCAGCUUUUCUUUCCCCCCCGCGCCUCGGUCCGUGUCCUUUUCUCCUUAAAGCUGCCUUCUUAUUUCUCCCGUCUCACUCCUUUUCCCUUUUUUUUUAUUAUUUCUUUUUUCUGGCAGCUUUGCUGCUCUCCUAUAUUAUAUCCCCUCUGACCUGCCUUCCAUCUCCUUCUUAUUCUUUUAUUCUUUGCACUCCACUUCCUUCCUUUCAAUUAUAUUUUUCGUCCGUGCUCUCCCACUUCUUAAAAAGGCAGCCAUUUCAAUUCACAAUUAACGAUCCACUUGCUCCAUCUUUAAUUCUUUUAUUUGCUCCAUUAUUUUUCUAAUGGUCCACCCGUGUUCCACUUUCCUGUUUAUUAUUUAAACCCAUUUGUGCUAAUUUUAUUUUCUUUGCAUAACAAAUCCUAUAAACACAAAAAUAACGUAAAUAGCUCAAAAAUAUAAGGAACUAACUAAGAAAAGAUGAGUGAAUUCGAAGUAAAAAUAUAUAUAAAUAUGAUCCGAUCAAUUUUGUGGUGGUAAUUCAUUCUCAAAGCCUAUAAAUAGGUUUCUUCAUCAAGGUAUCAAUUAUCCUAAAAUUCACAAAUACAUUUCUCUACUCCCAAAUUGGAAGAGAAUUCCCCAAAACCUUGAAGCUUUGAAACUCUAAAGCUCUCAAGCAAAUCUCGAAGGAUCAAGAAAGCCCUCUUCAUUCUUCGUCAAAUCCUCCUUCAAGAUCAAGCCCCAACGACUCUUGAAGAACUUCCAUCAAUUCAAGAUCAAGCCUCGACGGCCCUUGAAGAAAGUGUUCAUCGUUCAUCAAUUGUUCAUCCUAAGAUCAAGCCCCAACGACCCUUUGGAUCAACAACAUCAACAAAUCCACACAACUGUUCAUCCUAAGAUCAAGCCCCGACGACCUUUUUGGAUCAACAACAUCACCAAAGUCACACAACUGUUCAUCCUAAGAUCAAGCCCCGACGGCCCUUUGGAUCAACAACAUCAACAAAUCUACACAACAGUUCUUCAAGAUCAAGCCCCCAACGGCCCUUGAAAAAGCUCCCAACCGUUCAUCCAAGAUCAAGCUUCAACGGCCCUUGGAUCAACAACAUCCAUAAAUCAACACCUUACGGAGAUCGAAUCAGAUGAUCAAGUUAAAAGAGAUCGUAACCCUACAAAUCCAUUAACACCAAAAUAUUAUUUUGUACACGUUGUUCUUGUUUCAGGAAAUUUCCGUGUUCACAAGAGCGCUGCAGUAUUUUACCAUCACGAGACCAGAUCUUUCCUAUGCCGUUAACUAGGUGUGCCAAUUUAUGCACUCACCCAAGGAUACUCAUUGGAUGGCAGUGAAACGCAUCCUGCAGUAUUUGAAGGCCACGUAUGAUAAUAGUCUUGUUUAUAAACCUGGAGAUAUGCAAUUGCAUGCUUUCUCUGAUGCAGAUUAUGCGGGCAAUCCUCAUACCUGCCACUCUACAGGAGGUUUUUGUAUUUAUUUGGGACCAAAUCUGGUGUCUUGGAGUUCAAAGAAACAUAAGACUUUCUCUCGGUCGAGUAUGGAAGCCGAAUAUAGGCAACUAGCCUACACUGCUGCUGAGCUAUCUUGGUUAAGGUUGUUAUUCAGAGACCUUCAUUUGCAUCUUCAUAUUCCACACAUAUGGUGUGAGAAUGUCUCUUCAAUAGCCUUAGCCUCCAAUCCCGUUUUUCAUUCAUGAACAAAACACUUGGAGGUUGAUUAUCACUAUGUCCGUGAGAAAGUGGUUCGAAAACAGCUUCUGGUAAAAUUUAUUUGUUCUCAAGAUCAUAUUGCUGAUUUGUUUACAAAGGGUUUGUCUUCCUCGCAUUUCAAGCUUUUGGUGUCCAAGCUUCCAGUUGUUUCUCGGGCUGUCAGCUUGCGGGGGGCUGUUAGACCAAGUCAGAGUUAUCAAGAAUCUAGCUCAUGUUUAAACUCUAAAGUCUGUUAUUCAGGAAUGCAGUCCUUAUCCAAGGAUAACUCUGAUAGGUCUAGAUUAUUUUAAUGUUUUAAAGUUUAUUUUCACAUAUGUUGUAUUAUUCAAAUUCAAAUAUUGCCGUGUAAAUAGGGAUGAUAAACCCCUGAUGUAAUCUCAAGAUUAUUAUAAAUACAUGCAACCUAUCAGUUGAUGGGGAUGCAAAUUCUGAGCUGGAA